UGGUCUUAUUUGCACCCUUCCUCUCCAUCUAGACACUGAAACGGCCGUUGAAAAAAAAGGAAAUACUUGGGAAAAGCCCUCCCCUUCUCUUCUCUCGCCUUCACCACGCGCCGCCCGAUCCGCCACCGCCCGCCGCAGCCAGCAAGCCAAGGCCAGAUGGCGGCCUCACUCGUGUCCUCGUUUACUGUGCCCCUCGUCUCCGCCGUCCUCGGUGCCGCCAUCGCCCUCGUCUUCCUCGCCGGCUACCUCCGCCGCAAGCGCGCCGCCAUCGCCCACAUCCCUCCCACCGAAACCGCCGCCGCCCCGGACCAGCCUAAGCAUGUCCGCCCCUCCAACCAGGCCCAGUACAAGAAGGGCCAUCUCCGCCCGCAUCACCACGCGGCCGACAAGGACGCGGCCAAGAAGCACCACCAUCUUGAUGUCAACACCUUGAGGGGGCAUACUGACUCCGUCACUGCACUUGCCUUCUCCAAUGACGCCUGCAACCUAGUUACCGUAUGUGCUGAUGGAGCCAUCAGGGUAUUCAGGAUCGAUGAUACCUCUAGCAAGAGCUUCAAGAUUCUUAGGAUAAACUUGCCAGCUGGAGCGCACCCUACGGCUGUUACUUUCUCAGAGGGGUCAUCAUCUGUUGUUGUGGCGGCGCAGGCGCUUCUGGGAUCAUCUCUUUAUAUGUAUGCGGAUGUUAGCGCUCCUCCAACCGCGGAAAACAAACUGCAGGGAAAGCUUUCUCCACCUGAAAUCAAGUGGAGUCACCCCAAGAUACAUGGCAAGGAGUCUGUGCUCAACCUUGCAGCGGCCCGUGCAACUCAUGGGUCUGGUGAUGGGAGCACUAUUAUCAUUUCAUGCUCAGAAGCAACUGAUAUCAAAGUUUGGCAUGGGAAGAGUGGGAAGGAGUUUGGUACAGUUGACACCAAUCAGUUAAAAAAUAAUAUGGCUGACAUAUCCCCAAAUGGUCGCUUCAUAGCUGCUGCGGCUUUUACUGCUGAUGUCAAGGUGUGGGAGAUAGUUUACUCGAAGGAUGGUUCAGUGAAGGAGGUUAAUAAAGUUAUGCAACUCAAGGGUCAUAAGAGUGCUGUUACUUGCUUGUGCUUUGCUCCCAAUUCUGAGCAAAUUAUUACUGCAUCCAAAGAUGGUUCCAUUCGAGUAUGGAACAUUAAUGUAAGAUACCACCUUGAUGAGGAUCCAAAAACCUUGAGAGUUAUGCCAAUUCCACUUCAUGACUCUAAAGGUUCUGUUUGCCAGUAUGAUCACAUGACAGUCUCUCCUGAUGGUAAAAUUCUGGCUGUAACAAGUGGAUCAACGUUGCAAUGGUUACUUGUGGAAACUGGUGCAGUUUUGGAUACAGCUGACAAAGCACAUGAAGGUGAUAUAACUGGCAUUGCUUGGGCUCCACGGACAAUUCCCAAUGGUGGCGUGCAUGUUUUUAUUUUGGCGACUGCUGGUGUGGACAAAAAGGUGAAACUUUGGACAGCUCCAGAUGUUGGUUCAACAUGAGUGGUCGAGGAUUGAAUCUGCAUAAGACAGCUUUGCCAAGGGCACAGAAUUGAAGUUUUGUUGCGUAGAGUUUGAGAGGAGGAAGGGAAGGGAGGCCUGGCUGUUACUGAUGAGACCCCAAUGCAUCACGCAGGCGGCAGCCUUGGGGCUGUAGUUUCGCUACCUUUUAUACAAUAAACUGAAUGUUGUCUGCAUUUGUAUUUUUUUUUCUUUCCUUCCUUUUUACUGUUGGAAUGAUCUGGCUGUGUGAUCAACAUAAUUUAAGCUGCUGCUGCUUGGAAUAGACGUCAUUUUAUUUGUCAAGCAAAUGUGCUGCUUUGCGCAUUGUUUGACAUUAUAUUGUUUGAUAAAGUGUGCUAAGUA